AUUGAACGCUGGUGGCAGGCCUAACACAUGCAAGUCGAGCGGAGCGGCGGACGGGUGAGUAAUGCCUAGGACUCUGCCUGGGAGUGGGGGAUAACGUCCGGAAACGGGCGCUAAUACCGCAUACUAUCAGAUGAGCCUAGGUCGGACUAGCUAGUUGGUGGGGUAAGGGCCUACCAAGGCGACGAUCCGUAACUGGUCUGAGAGGAUGAUCAGUCACACGGGAACUGAGACACGGUCCAGACUCCUACGGGAGGCAGCAGUGGGGAAGAUUGCACAAUGGGCGCAAGCCUGAUGCAGCCAUGCCGGGUGUGUGAAGAAGGCCUUCGGGUUGGAAAGCACUUUCGGCGGGGAGGCGUUACCCGCAGAAGAAGCACCGGCUAACUCCGUGCCAGCAGCCGCGGUAAUAC
rnacentral:rRNA from 1 species